rnacentral:lncRNA from 1 species
ACAGUGACUGUCUGCCCCACAACACAUAUCCGUGGACCCCAGUACCUCUCACGAGGACAUAGCCUGGGCCAAGCACAUGGGUCCUGGGCAGCUGCCAUCGUUCCCACCCCUGGGUCAGCUCCGCCUGACUCAGGCACCCCCACAAUUAGUACAUCUUUCGUAAGUUAAAGAUGCAUUCAAAAUAAGCCUAAUUCCCAUUUUGCUUAGUGUUUUGUUUGGAAAUGCUUCUAACAAUGAUUCUUCAACUUCUACUGAAUGCACAGUAUUUACUGACACUGCUCAUCUCCUCCUUCCUCCACCUCCCUCAACAUUCAGCUUCCCCACCAUCACUUGUCUCAUUACUCCUUCUGGUCUUUCUUUCCUGGACUUUCUGCUACUUAAUCUGCUUCCCAAGAACAAGUGAAUUUACUAACAUGAAACUGGUCAGACUAACCAUCAUCUUACCAAUGAUUUCUUGGUCUCAUUUGCUCCACCCUGUUAGAAAGUGGGCCCUCUUUCUUUCACUCUACCUUCCCCUCCACAAGAAGCCCAGAUGUGCUUGCCUCCCACAAAAGAGCCACAUGCCCCAGAGUCCAAGGGUUAUCCUUAACAAAGGGUCUGACAUGUAACCUUCCUAAAUGUGCAUUUCACACUCGGACAAGCCAAUGAAGUUUUUUUUUUUUUUUUAAAGUUCAUCUCCCCUGCC